GGCGAGGGUCUCUGCCUUGCUGUAGAGCUCCUCCAUCCCGCCGGCAGGCACGGCACGGCAAGGGAGAGAGAACACGGCACGGGAGAACACGGCACGGCACGGCACGGCAGGACACGGUCCGUCCGAGCCGCCCGAGGGUUCCCCGCCUCUUAUGCCGGCGACGGCGGCGGCCAAACCCCUCCUCCCCGCGUCCCUGCCUCCCUCCUUCCCGGCGGGACGGGACGGGACGGGACGGGACGGGACAGGACGUCCCGUCCCCACCGCUCCCCCAUCCCCCUGGGUUUUCCCUUCGUGCUUGCUGUCGAGCUGAGUCGGGCCAGCCGCGGAAACCAUACAGAAGUGACUUGCCUGAAUGUGGCAUUUCUUCAUGGUUACACUUGAUACCCAUCUCGCUGGACAUCAAAGCCCACAGGAAAAAGAGGGGAGAUUAAGAUGGGGGAAGAAGGACAGAGUUCACAUCGAGAGGCAUCCCAUUCCGGAACAGCGAUGCUGCUGGUGGAUUGCUCAGAUUUACCUUCCCCUGCCGGCACGCACCGUCUCCUCUGGAGGCUGCUCCUCGAGCUGCAUGAGCAGACAGCAGAGCACUCGCCCACGGCCCUGCUGCCCCAUCUGCAGCUCGUCUGUGCCACCUGCAGCACUAUGCUUGGAAGAGUUUUCAGGGAGCAUAUGUAAAGCCACACAAUUUCCUGUGCUGAUGAUACUUCCUUUUUCUUGAUCAGUAUCCAGCAAGUCAUCCCAAAUUCUGCAGAUUUAAGAAACACACUUCCUGACUUUUACUUUUUCUUGUUUUUCCUUAGCAUCUCUGCCAACAAGCCACCUUUCUGCUUCUCUAGACAGCACUUCUUUCCAUCCAGUCAUUUACUUGAGUUUCCUCAGUGUUAAAUUUGAAGCUUUGACAUUCCAUACAGAUUGAAGGGAUAUGCAAAAUACUACUGCUACAUCUUUAGAAGCAUGCACUGACAGCCUUGUGUCAGGGCUUUUGUUUCAGGUUUAGCAAAAGCAAGUUUGCUCAUAGCUUGCUUAGUAACUACUAGAAGCAAUAGCAAACUUCACCAGGAAGGCUUGAAGUGGCAGGUGAAGUAGAAGGGGGGAGGUUGUUUCUCAAAACAACCUUCAAAGCCAUUAAAAGGGACUUAAUAAUUAAGGAAAUAUCACUCCCUGUUGGCUCCUACUUCAUUCAUGCUCUUUCAAUACUAUGAGCAGAACCAAGCCUACCUAGCCUCUCCUAAGACUGGCAGAGACCCUGACCCAGACACAGGCCUUUGCAGCACUACUUGCCCUCAUAAUGCCAUGCAGUAAAUACUGGCAGCUAUCUCUCCCUGAUAUAUAGUAGGAUUAAAAGGGCUUAGGUUUUUUUUUUUUUCUAAAAUGCUUGUGUUUUAGUAAAAAAUCAAAAACUCAAACCAAAACAUGCUGUUUACUCCAUCCUGCUCUGUUUGCUUUACAAACAUUUUAAUUUACUUUUUUCCACACUUGUUUAUGGGCUCUGUCCUGGCAUGGUACCAGAAACCACCAGCCAGGCUUCCUGUAUGAAGGAUGAAAAGGAGUAAAUAUUUCUAACAGUUACCCAAAAUAUCCAAACAAGGUGCCUGUGGCUACCUAUUUAACUGCAAAGGAGUUCUUCUAAAAAACGAUGUAUUGCUGCUGCAUCCUGAGAAAUAAAGCCAUUUCAGAUGGAUUUGCUGUGGAAGUUGAGCUGCACUGAAGAUGUUUCAGUACAGAAAUUUAAAGAUGGACAAACCAUACCUGUCUGCACCUUCUCAGGGCCAGGCAGCUGCUUGGCAUUUGCUCUGGAAGGGGAAUGGACUUGCCUGAGAGUUCAAGCAGUGACCGGUCCAGCAGGGCCCCAGAAGCUGUGUCUGCCUUUGAUUUGGGAGAUAAACUAAAGCAGCUGGAGUACAACUAUACUAGCAGACAGUGAUCUCUCUCAAGAGGAGAUGAAAAAGUACCCUGUGAGUAUUCCAUCUGGAAAUUCCCAGAACCUAAUGGAAGAGAAGACAAAUUAGUAACCCUGGGAAGACAGAAAGACUGCCUGCAGCAACACGACUUAAAUGUUUUGGCACUCCCUUGGGGUUUUUUUUUCUUUUUUUUUUU